CGAACGCUGGCGGCAGGCCUAAUACAUGCAAGUCGAACGGCUCUUCGGAGCAGUGGCGGACGGGUGAGUAACGCGUGGGAAUGUGCCCUUUGGUACGGAACAACACAGGGAAACUUGUGCUAAUACCGUAUGGUCCCUUCGGGGGAAAGAUUUAUCGCCAUUGGAGCAGCCCGCGUUGGAUUAGGUAGUUGGUGAGGUAAAGGCUCACCAAGCCUACGAUCCAUAGCUGGUCUGAGAGGAUGACCAGCCACACUGGGACUGGGACACGGCCCAGACUCCUACGGGAGGCAGCAGUAGGGAAUCUUGCGCAAUGGGCGAAAGCCUGACGCAGCCAUGCCGCGUGUAUGAUGAAGGUCUUAGGAUUGUAAAAUACUUUCACCGGGGAAGAUAAUGACGGUACCCGGAGAAGAAGCCCCGGCUAACUUCGUGCCAGCAGCCGCGGUAACAC
rnacentral:rRNA from 1 species